CUACGUGCCAGCAGCGCGUAUACGUAGGGUACGAGCGUGUCCGGGAACUAUUCGGCCGUAAAGAGCUCGUAGGGUGGUUGGUCACGUCUGCUGUGGAAACGCAAACGCUUAAACGUUGCGCGUGCAGUGGGUACGGGCUGACUAGAGUGCAGUAGGGGAGUCUGGAAUUCCUGGUGUAGCGGUGAAAUGCGCAGAUAUCAGGAGGAACACCGGUGGCGAAGGCGGGACUCUGGGCUGUAACUGACACUGAGGAGCGAAAGCAUGGGGAGCGAACAGGAUUAGAUACCCUGGUAGUCCAUGCCGUAAACGUUGGGCACUAGGUGUGGGGGGCAUUCCACGUUCUCCGCGCCGUAGCUAACGCAUUAAGUGCCCCGCCUGGGGAGUACGGUCGCAAGGCUAAAACUCAAAGGAAUUGACGGGGGCCCGCACAAGCGGCGGAGCAUGCGGAUUAAUUCGAUGCAACGCGAAGAACCUUACCAAGGCUUGACAUACACCGGACCGUCCUGGAAACAGGUCUUCUUCUUUGAAGCUGGUGUACAGGUGGUGCAUGGUUGUCGUCAGCUCGUGUCGUGAGAUGUUGGGUUAAGUCCCGCAACGAGCGCAACCCUCGUUCUAUGUUGCCAGCAUGUGAUGGUGGGAACUCAUAGGAGACUGCCGGGGUCAACUCGGAGGAAGGUGGGGAUGACGUCAAAUCAUCAUGCCCUUUAUGUCUUGGGCUUCACGCAUGCUACAAUGGCUGGUACAGAGAGAGGCGAACCCGUGAGGGCAAGCGAAUCCCUUAAAGCCAGUCUCAGUUCGGAUCGUAGUCUGCAAUUCGACUACGUGAAGUCGGAGUCGCUAGUAAUCGCAGGUCAGGAACGGUCCCGAUGACGG
rnacentral:rRNA from 1 species